UCCAGGAAGUAUCGAGUAUUUGUAUAUGUGUAUGUAUGUGCAUGUGGUGUGUAUAUGUAGAUGCAGUAUGUAGAUAUAUUUUAAUAUUCCCUGAUUGAGGUUAUUUGUAAAUAAACAGGAGGCAGAGAUAAUAGUGGUUUGGGUGCAGUAGUAAUUAUUGUAGUCCUCUUCCCUUAUCUGCGGCUUCGCUUUCCACAGUUUCAGUUCCCCGGGGAUCAAAAGCAGUCGGGAAACAGAUGAUCCUCCUUAUGACGAAUCCGCAGAAGGUCAAUAGGCGCCUAGCGCUACGUCACGGCACUUACGUCAGGGCACCUACGUCACAGCGCCUGCGUCACUCACCUCACUUCGCCUCAUCGCGGGAGCAUUUCAUCACCUCACGUGGUCACAAGAAGGUUUCUGCAGGUCAGAACUUCAGACAGGCACAGUGGGAUGGAUUGUCCCUGUUCUAGGAUGACUGUGUUAUCAGCUGGAAGACUUCACAGCUGGGGACUAGAAUCAUCUGAAGACUCAUCCACCCACAUGUUUGGUUGUUGAUGCUGGCUGUCAGAUCUCAGUGAAUACAACAAAGCCCAAAUACAUAACCAAACGGACUUGAACUUUCCUCAUUGGUCUGGAGCAUCCGAUUCCCAGUAAUGGUCCAAGGAUCCCUGGGGGGGCACAGCCCACAUGCAACUAGCUCAGGAGCAUUCUGGGACUCAGUGCCUCAUGACUCGCCUCAUUGUGAGAAUUCUGCAGCUGAAUUUCCCAGCAGGGAUCAUUAAUCACACCAGCCACUGAUAUCACAAACAACAGAGAACCCAGCUGCCAUGCUGCAUGGAGAAGACAAAUGGACGGGAAUUGAGGCACUCUGGUUGACAGUCUCACUGAGCAUCCAGCUGACCCCAGCCACCGACCAGGUGAGUAAACCAUCUUGGAUGGUCCAUCCCAAUUGAGUCCCCAGAUAACUGUAUUUCCAGCCAACACAAUACAGAGCCGAAGAAUCACCCAGCAGAACCCAGUCAACCCAGAAAAUCAGGAGAGAUAGUCAAAUGGUUGUUGACUGAAGUCACUAAAUCUUGGGUGGUUUGUUAUGCAUCAAUACAUAACUGAAGGAGACAUUGGUACCUAGAUGUAGGGUGCUGAGGUAAUAUAAAUGUAAAACAUGUGGCAAUGGCCUUGGAACCAGGCCACGGCUAGAGGCCUGAUGAAGCACCUCUAGGAGACUGUAAACAGAGGCUGGAAGGACAGUGAGAAAAUUGCUAGUGGAGGCAGGAGAAAAUGGAACUUGAAUAUUGAACUGCCAGAACAAUUAGCAAAAUGUCCCCUUCAGUAACAUGGAGGUAGAAGCAGAGCCUAAUGAACCCAUCAAUCUGGUGAAGGAGAUUUCCAGGUAGAAUGUUGAAAGUGGCAACUACUUUUACUAGCUCAGCACUAAUUAUUUUUAUUAAUCAAAAUGUAAUAAAAUUAAAAAUCCAUUCCCUCAAUUGCUCUAGUCACAUUAUGACUUAUGAGUACUUAACAAGUCAUAUAUGGCUACCCUGCUGGAGAAUGCAGACUAUUAUAGAGCGUUUCCACCACCACAGAAACAUCUAUUUGACUUCCCUCCUCAAGUGUUAGUAGGCAGGAAGUAGACAACACACUCAAAGAGUGUUGAGUAACCAAGGGACUGUUAUCAAAAUGUGGUAUCUCCUGAGAGGUUGUGUGAAAGAAAAACUUCUCAGACCCCAUCCAGACCUAUGGAAUCAGAAUCUCAGGUUGCGGGUGAGGGUUGAGGGGUGGGGGGUUGAGCAGGAAUCUGUAGUUUAACAAGCCUUUCAAGUGAUUCUUAUGCACAUUAAACUUUAAGAAGUACUAAAGAGAAUUUAAUAAAGGGACUGCUGUAGAGUUGAGGGCUGGGUUAAGAGAAGCAGCAAGGGAAACCAGAGAAGCAGAGAAGAAACCAGACAGUAUUAGUGGGACACUAGGACAGCUGGAGCCCUGGAAGGCAGCUGAGGGACACAAUGGGUCCAGAGCAGGCAUAAGGCAAGAAGAUUAGGGGAGUGGGGAAAAUACUCUCACGUCUGUCUCUUCUGCCCUCUGAUUUUUCACUGGAGUCCCUGUUGACCCCAACCAGCCCAAAGCUAGAGAACAAAGAAGGCUCUUCUAUACAGAGCAGGGCAGAGGGGAGUGGAGAAUGGAUAUGGAGGGACAAAUGAGAUUGAGCCAGCACACAUGGUUUUGAUGUGUUAGCUGUAUUUUAAAAAUACACAUUUGACUGAUUGUAUAACUAUUAACAUUAAAAAGAUGUUACUACCUUUCAAAAUCAUGUCAGUUGCAUCGUCUCCGGGAACCAUGUUGUUAAUAAUGAGGUCUGUCCAGGUAAUUUUAAGAAGGGUAAUAAUAGCUAUUAGUGUUUCUUUCCAGUUUAUUUUUUCCUCCCCUCCCUUCCCCAUUUCCAUUCCCUUCCUUUUUCCCACCCUAUCCUUCUCUUCCCUCUCUCCUCUCUCUAGUCAUCUUUAUAUUAUGUAACAAUAUUAUAGUAAAUAAAGUGUUGUGCCAUGUCUUUUUCAUUUAAAGUUACGUUUUGAACAUUUCCUUGUGCCAUUAAGGAUUCUCUGAAAACAUGUUUUUCAGUGGCUGUGCAGAUGGUUUAAAGAUGAUUGUUAUUGUAAGCUGUCUCAAAUCCUUUUGGGAAGUAGGUGGUGUAUAAUGCAUAAAUUAUAAAUGAAAAGCAAGUUGUUCUUAAUUUUACUCUCAACCUCUAAAGUGCAGUAGCUCUUUGUGGAUCUGUUUCUCUAAAGCCACAGAGACACAAAGGGUAGUGACAAUGAUCAAAAAGGAGCCACAUGGUGGAAAAGUGUUGAACUAGGGUCCUGUGCUUAGGUGUCUCUGUCCAGUUUCUGCUCCUGUGACCUAAGAUGUGGGUGCUUAGACCAACUGAAGUUCAAGGUCUCUUUUAGUUCCAUCUCUGAUUUCUCAGACAAAUCUAAUGCCCCCUUAGGUAGAAAAAAGUCUUAGAUUUCAGGGACCUCCUCCAUGAUGUCCUAGUCCCAGGAACUAUCCUCCCUCACCUGCACAACACCAAUCCCCUCCCUUCAGUGGUCUUCUCCUCCCAUUCUUGCCCUCCAUCUGUUCUCCACAAGGCAGCUAGAGUGAUCUGUAAAAGACUAUGGCAGGUAAUGGCGCUCAUCUUAUUCUUUGUCAUGGUGAAUGAGUCCCCACGUGAUCAGGUGCCCCACCACCUCUCUGAUUCCAUUUUCUAUUUCUCCCUUGAGCACUCCACCCCAGCUAAAUCCAUUAACCAUUCUCUCACUCAAGAGCCUUUAUACCUGCUGUUCCCUUUGCUUGGAAUGCUGUUCCGUCACAUUUCCUCACAGCUCAUAUUUACCAGAGAUGUCUUUUUUGACUACCCUCAAUAACAUAGCCUUAAUUUCCAUCAUUCCCUAUACCUUUCUGCAGUUUUAUUUUCUUUCAUGGCACUUAUCCUGGACAUGAUAUCUGUAGGGGCUUAUUUACUUACUAUUUGUCUAUCUCCACUAGCAUAUAGGUUCCAGGAGAGCUUGGUCCAUUUUAUUCAUUGCUACUUUGAAGUGAAAUUAGUAAGUUCUCGGUAAGUGCACUUAGUGGGAAGUGAAUAAAAAAAGCUUCCUGAGGAAAGUCAGUGUUCAGGAGGAAAAGAUGCCCAAACACCUCAGCUUCAUGGUUGGCAUAGAUAGAUUGAUUCUCAGCCCCUGCUUAGGGCUUUUUCCAUUCCCUCAGGCCACCUCCUAACAGCUCCUCCUGGCAUCCCCUCCAGCUUUUUGCCCCCAUUGUAACUCUCCUCUUGCUCACCCCUGUCCCACUAAGGGGUCUGUGGUCCCCUCUGCACCUCACAGAGUAUUGCAACAACCACUUUUCUUGUUUUCAUGGUAUUUCAUGGCUUAUAAUACCCUAUACUGCAUGCGAUUUCCUUUACUGCUGCAGCAGUUCCUGGAGAUAGGAGCUAGUGUCUUUAUUUUAGUCACUUGUUCAGGCAGCACAGUUUAUUGGGCACCUACUCUUGUGGGGACUUGGGGACAGUGAUGAAUAGGCAGAGAUAGUUCCUGCUCUCAUUGAGCUCAACAUCUGGCAGAGGCGACAGACAUGAAACACAUAAUGGGGUAAAUAUUUCCUAAUAUUACAAUUAACCUAAGUUCUGUGGAGGAGAAACGGGUAACCACUUAUUGAGUAUCUCUGUAUCUCUUGUAGUUAGUAUCAUUUUAUCUUCACCUCAACCCUCUUAGGUGAGACUAAUAUGAGACCUGUUUUACAGAUGGGGAGAUCUAGUCUCAGAGGACACU